AGAGUUUGAUCCUGGCUCAGAACGAACGCUGGCGGCGUGCUUAACACAUGCAAGUCGAACGGAAUUAGGGGCUUGCUCCUAAUUUAGUGGCGCACGGGUGAGUAACGCGUGGAUAACCUACCCUGGUAUCUGGGAUAACAUCUCGAAAGGGGUGCUAAUACCGGAUAAGCCCACGGGAACUUUGGUUCUUGCGGGAAAAAGGUGGCCUCUGAAUAUGCUACUGUAUCAGGAUGGGUCCGCGUACCAUUAGCUAGUUGGUGGUGUAAUGGACCACCAAGGCGACGAUGGUUAGCUGGUCUGAGAGGAUGAUCAGCCACACUGGAACUGAGACACGGUCCAGACUCCUACGGGAGGCAGCAGUGGGGAAUUUUGCAUAAUGGAGGAAACUCUGAUGCAGCGACGCCGCGUGCGGGAUGAAGGGGCUUUGCCUUGUAGACCGCUGUCGGAUGGGAAAAAAGUCUCCUCGGGAGACUGGGAUUGUACCAUCAAAGGAAGCACCGGCU
rnacentral:rRNA from 1 species